rnacentral:rRNA from 1 species
UACGAAGGGGGCUAGCGUUGCUCGGAAUCACUGGGCGUAAAGGGUGCGUAGGCGGGUCUUUAAGUCAGGGGGUGAAAUCCUGGAGCUCAACUCCAGAACUGCCUUUGAUACUGGGAAUCUCGAGUCCGGGAGAGGUGAGUGGAACUGCGAGUGUAGAGGUGAAAUUCGUAGAUAUUCGCAAGAACACCAGUGGCGAAGGCGGCUCACUGGCCCGGUACUGACGCUGAGGUGCGAAAGCGUGGGGAGCAAACAGG